CUCUCUCUCUCUCUCUCCCCCCCCCCCCCCCCCAAAAAAAAACCCUACCCAUCUACCGACGACGGCGACAACAAUCUUCUUCAUCAUCCAACCAACAACGAGUGACACACUGAAAGGCGAUUGGGGAUCGAGAGUGUGAGGGUUCUAUACACACAGAGAGAAAGCUUACAUAGAGAUGUCCAGGCACCAGACCGAUGCUAGAAACGUCAAGUUAAGCUCUUGUUUUGUCAAGCCAACCACCAUGCCUCACUUCGAGGAUCCGAGUCCGUUCAAACCACGGUUGUUUUGGGGUGUCUCAAUUUCACCCUUUCGUCUCUGAUCUGUAAUAAAUGUUUGAGACUUGACUGUACUGUUUUAGGUAGGGAUUUGGCCCCUGACAUGGAUGUUUGUGUAUAUGGCGCAUGUACAUAUGUUUUGGUUAUCAAUGUGGCAUGUUUAUAAAAAGUCUUUUGCAUA